UGGCGACCGGCGCACGGGUGAGUAACGCGUAUCCAACCUGCCCUUUACUAUGGGACAGCCCGUCGAAAGGCGGUAUUAAUACCGUAUGUUGUCAUGUUGAUGCAUAUUUUCAUGACCAAAGGCUUCGGCCGGUAAAGGAUGGGGAUGCGUCUGAUUAGCCUGCCGGCGGGGUAACGGCCCACCGGGGCGACGAUCAGUAGGGGUUCUGAGAGGAAGGUCCCCCACAUUGGAACUGAGACACGGUCCAAACUCCUACGGAAGGCAGCAG
rnacentral:rRNA from 1 species